rnacentral:rRNA from 1 species
GACGAACGCUGGCGGCGCGCCUAACACAUGCAAGUCGAACGAGCGAGAGAGAGCUUGCUUUCUCGAGCGAGUGGCGAACGGGUGAGUAACGCGUGAGGAACCUGCCUCAAAGAGGGGGACAACAGUUGGAAACGACUGCUAAUACCGCAUAAGCCCACGGUGCCGCAUGGCACCGAGGGAAAAGGAGCAAUCCGCUUUGAGAUGGCCUCGCGUCCGAUUAGCUAGUUGGUGAGGUAAUGGCCCACCAAGGCGACGAUCGGUAGCCGGACUGAGAGGUUGAACGGCCACAUUGGGACUGAGACACGGCCCAGACUCCUACGGGAGGCAGCAGUGGGGAAUAGUGCACAAUGGGGGAAACCCUGAUGCAGCGACGCCGCGUGGAGGAAGAAGGUCUUCGGAUUGUAAACUCCUGUUGUUGGGGAAGAUAAUGACGGUACCCAACAAGGAAGUGACGGCUAACUACGUG